rnacentral:rRNA from 1 species
UACGUAGGGGGCAAGCGUUAUCCGGAAUUACUGGGUGUAAAGGGAGAGUAGGCGGCAAGGUAAGCGAUAUGUGAAAGCCUUAGGCUUAACCAAAGGAUUGCAUAGCGAACUAUCUAGCUAGAGUACAGGAGAGGAAAGCGGAAUUCCUAGUGUAGCGGUGAAAUGCGUAGAUAUUAGGAAGAACACCAGUGGCGAAGGCGGCUUUCUGGACUGAAACUGACGCUGAGGCUCGAAAGCGUGGGGAGCGAACAGG